rnacentral:rRNA from 1 species
UGGGGAAUAUUGCACAAUGGGCGCAAGCCUGAUGCAGCCAUGCCGCGUGUAUGAAGAAGGCCUUCGGGUUGUAAAGUACUUUCAGCGAGGAGGAAGGCGUUGUGGUUAAUAACCGCAGCGAUUGACGUUACUCGCAGAAGAAGCACCGGCUAACUCCGUGCCAGCAGCCGCGGUAAUACGGAGGGUGCAAGCGUUAAUCGGAAUUACUGGGUGUAAAGCGCACGCAGGCGGUCUGUCAAGUCGGAUGUGAAAUCCCCGGGCUCAACCUGGGAACUGCAUCCGAAACUGGCAGGCUAGAGUCUUGUAGAGGGGGGUAGAAUUCCAGGUGUAGCGGUUAAAUGCGUAGAGAUCUGGAGGAAUACCGGUGGCGAAGGCGGCCCCCUGGACAAAGACUGACGCUCAGGUGCGAAAGCGUGGGGAGCAAACA